rnacentral:hammerhead_ribozyme from 1 species
AUCCAGUUGACGAGUCCCAUAUAGGACGAAACGCGUGUCCUAGAU